rnacentral:rRNA from 1 species
GAUGAACGCUGGCGGCGUGCUUAACACAUGCAAGUCGAACGAUGAAGCCCAGCUUGCUGGGUGGAUUAGUGGAGAACGGGUGAGUAACACGUGAGUAACCUGCCCUUAACUCUGGGAUAAGCCUGAGAAACUGGGUCUAAUACCGGAUAGGAGCGUCCACCGCAUGGUGGGUGUUGGAAAGAUUUAUCGGUUUUGGAUGGACUCGCGGCCUAUCAGCUUGUUGGUGAGGUAAUGGCUCACCAAGGCGACGACGGGUAGCCGGCCUGAGAGGGUGACCGGCCACACUGGGACUGAGACACGGCCCAGACUCCUACGGGAGGCAGCAGUGGGGAAUAUUGCACAAUGGGCGAAAGCCUGAUGCAGCGACGCCGCGUGAGGGAUGACGGCCUUCGGGUUGUAAACCUCUUUCAGUAGGGAAGAAGCGAAAGUGACGGUACCUGCAGAAGAAGCACCGGCUAACUACGUG